UACCAGCACCCCGAGUGGUCGGGACGUUUAUUGGGCCUAAAGCAUCCGUAGCCGGUUCUACAAGUCUUCCGUUAAAUCCACCUGCUUAACAGAUGGGCUGCGGAAGAUACUAUGGAGCUAGGAGGCGGGAGAGGCAAGCGUUACUCGAUGGGUAGGGGUAAAAUCCGUUGAUCCAUUGAAGACCACCAGUGGCGAAGGCGGCUUGCCAGAACGCGCUCGACGGUGAGGGAUGAAAGCUGGGGGAGCAAACCGG
rnacentral:rRNA from 1 species